ensembl:misc_RNA Metazoa_SRP Metazoan signal recognition particle RNA
GCCGGGUGCGGCGGCACACGCCGGUGGUCCCAGCUACUCCGGUGGUUGAGGCGGGAGAACCGCUUGAGCCCUGGACUUCCGGGCUGUAGGGCGCUCUGUGAUCGCGUGUCUGCACUAAGUUCAGCUUCAAUCUGGGAACCUCCAGGAAGCGGGGGACCACCAGCUUUCCUAUGGAGGGGUGAACAGGCCCAGGUCUGAAAUGGAGCAGGUCAAAACUGCCCUGCUGAUCAGUAGCCACAUGGCGCCUGUGACUAGCCACUGCCCUUCAGCCUGGGCAACAGAGCAAGACCCCCGCCCU